rnacentral:sRNA from 12 species
CUCGCCAAGCCUCUUAACAAUGCUCAAAUGUGCGAGG